CCUACGGGUGACUGCAGUGAGGAAUAUUGGUCAAUGGACGAGAGUCUGAACCAGCCAAGUAGCGUGAAGGAUGACUGCCCUAUGGGUUGUAAACUUCUUUUAUAUGGGAAUAAAAUGUUCCACGUGUGGGAUUUUGUAUGUACCAUAUGAAUAAGGAUCGGCUAACUCCGUGCCAGCAGCCGCGGUAAUACGGAGGAACCGAGCGUUAUCCGGAUUUAUUGGGUUUAAAGGGAGCGUAGGUGGAUUGUUAAGUCAGUUGUGAAAGUUUGCGGCUCAACCGUAAAAUUGCAGUUGAAACUGGCAGUCUUGAGUACAGUAGAGGUGGGCGGAAUUCGUGGUGUAGCGGUGAAAUGCUUAGAUAUCACGAAGAACUCCGAUUGCGAAGGCAGUUCACUGGACUGCAACUGACACUGAGGCUCGAAAGUGUGGGUAUCAAACAGGAUUAGAUACCCUUGUAGUC
rnacentral:rRNA from 1 species